GGGCGUGUAGCUCCAAUGGUAGAGCGGCUGAUUCCAAAUCAGUAGGUUCAAGGUUCGAAUCCUUGUGCGCCCGCCA
rnacentral:tRNA from 3 species